rnacentral:rRNA from 1 species
CUUAACACAUGCAAGUCGAACGGAAAGGCCCUGCUUUUGUGGGGUGCUCGAGUGGCGAACGGGUGAGUAACACGUGAGUAACCUGCCCUUGACUUUGGGAUAACUUCAGGAAACUGGGGCUAAUACCGGAUAGGAGCUCCUGCUGCAUGGUGGGGGUUGGAAAGUUUCGGCGGUUGGGGAUGGACUCGCGGCUUAUCAGCUUGUUGGUGGGGUAGUGGCUUACCAAGGCUUUGACGGGUAGCCGGCCUGAGAGGGUGACCGGCCACAUUGGGACUGAGAUACGGCCCAGACUCCUACGGGAGGCAGCAGUGGGGAAUAUUGCACAAUGGGCGGAAGCCUGAUGCAGCAACGCCGCGUGCGGGAUGACGGCCUUCGGGUUGUAAACCGCUUUCGCCUGUGACGAAGCGUGAGUGACGGUAAUGGGUAAAGAAGCACCGGCUAACUACGUGCCAGCAGCCGCGGUGAUACGUAGGGUGCGAGCGUUGUCCGGAUUUAUUGGGCGUAAAGGGCUCGUAGGUGGUUGAUCGCGUCGGAAGUGUAAUCUUGGGGCUUAACCCUGAGCGUGCUUUCGAUACGGGUUGACUUGAGGAAGGUAGGGGAGAAUGGAAUUCCUGGUGGAGCGGUGGAAUGCGCAGAUAUCAGGAGGAACACCAGUGGCGAAGGCGGUUCUCUGGGCCUUUCCUGACGCUGAGGAGCGAAAGCGUGGGGAGCGAACAGGCUUAGAUACCCUGGUAGUCCACGCUGUAAACGGUGGGUACUAGGUGUGGGGUACAUUCCACGGGUUCCGUGCCGUAGCUAACGCUUUAAGUACCCCGCCUGGGGAGUACGGCCGCAAGGCUAAAACUCAAAGGAAUUGACGGGGCCCCGCACAAGCGGCGGAGCAUGCGGAUUAAUUCGAUGCAACGCGUAGAACCUUACCUGGGUUUGACAUGGAUCGGGAGUGCUCAGAGAUGGGUGUGCCUCUUUUGGGGUCGGUUCACAGGUGGUGCAUGGCUGUCGUCAGCUCGUGUCGUGAGAUGUUGGGUUAAGUCCCGCAACGAGCGCAACCCUUGUUCACUGUUGCCAGCACGUUAUGGUGGGGACUCAGUGGAGACCGCCGGGGUCAACUCGGAGGAAGGUGGGGAUGACGUCAAGUCAUCAUGCCCCUUAUGUCCAGGGCUUCACGCAUGCUACAAUGGCUGGUACAGAGAGUGGCGAGCCUGUGAGGGUGAGCGAAUCUCGGAAAGCCGGUCUCAGUUCGGAUUGGGGUCUGCAACUCGACCUCAUGAAGUCGGAGUCGCUAGUAAUCGCAGAUCAGCAACGCUGCGGUGAAUACGUUCCCGGGGCUUGUACACACCGCCCGUCAAGUCAUGAAAGUUGGUAACACCCGAAGCCGGUGGCCUAACCGUUGAGGGGAGCCGUCGAAGGUGGGACUGGUGAUUAGGACC